AGGGAAUCUUCGGCAAUGGACGGAAGUCUGACCGAGCAACGCCGCGUGAGUGAAGAAGGUUUUCGGAUCGUAAAGCUCUGUUGUAAGAGAAGAACGAGUGUGAGAGUGGAAAGUUCACACUGUGACGGUAUCUUACCAGAAAGGGACGGCUAACUACGUGCCAGCAGCCGCGGUAAUACGUAGGUCCCGAGCGUUAUCCGGAUUUAUUGGGCGUAAAGCGAGCGCAGGCGGUUAGAUAAGUCUGAAGUUAAAGGCUGUGGCUUAACCAUAGUACGCUUUGGAAACUGUUUAACUUGAGUGCAGAAGGGGAGAGUGGAAUUCCAUGUGUAGCGGUGAAAUGCGUAGAUAUAUGGAGGAACACCGGUGGCGAAAGCGGCUCUCUGGUCUGUAACUGACGCUGAGGCUCGAAAGCGUGGGGAGCAAACAGGAUUAGAUACCCUGGUAGUCCACGCCGUAAACGAUGAGUGCUAGGUGUUGGGUCCUUUCCGGGACUCAGUGCCGCAGCUAACGCAUUAAGCACUCCGCCCGGGGAGUACGACCGCAAGGUUG
rnacentral:rRNA from 1 species